CUCCCUGGAAAUCACUCCAGCUUGCUCAGGGGCGCUAGCCUGCAUCAUGGUCUCCACUUCACCUGGAACACAACACUCCUUGGCCGCCUUCUACACGUCCUCUGAGCUCCUCCCUCGUCUCCAAUUUAUUCUGUAGACGCUGCCCUCAACUCCAGCUUCACACCCUUUCUGGCCCUGCCCAGCUCCACUUUUGCAGCAACUCAGAGUUGACAAUGUGGCUGCAUAACCUCUGCCCUCACUUCAGCUGUCCUCAGGACUUCUUCCGGAAUGGAAUCAGAGUGAAGCUGAAAACAUAGCAGAUAGAAUCUGAACUAAGUUGAUCGCGAGUCUGUAAGACACAUAUGCCAAGGUGAAGCCGUGCACACGACCCUGUGGCUGUUGCGGUCUGGAUCUCCCAUUAAAGCAGCACUGCCUGGAGGAAGCAGUGCCGGGGCUUCUGGGGACAGAGACUCAGCUCCCGGGGCAGCCCUCCCACCCAGGGCAGAAUCCGGCCAGGCAGCCUCUGCCGCAGCUGAAAUCCAUCCAGCAGUGAGCGCCUCCCCAUCGGAGGCCGGGGAAAGACUGCUGAUCAACCCAGCGUCCAUGAUCAACAGACACCUUGAGAGCACGAUUAUCAUGAAGUACCUUUCAGCGAUUUAGGACUGGACGGCUUAAGUGGCUGAGCUGGUUCACCUCGGGCUGCUGCCAACCAUCCACCCACUGUAGGCAUGGCUCUCGGGCGUCUGCCCUGAGCCGCUGCUUCUCCUGGGCGCUGGCAAACCCUCCCAGCGCCAUCUCCCUGCAGCUCUGCCGGUAUCCAAGCACCUGGAGGCACCACCCCCAGAUGUACCUCCUGCACAGCCACCCUGGGUGGGAGGGACCUCAUCGACUGCAGUGUUUCUAGUACGUCUGGGGGGCUGGUGGUGGGACCCCACGGUGGCCGAGGUCUGAGAGCCAAGCUAGCCGUGGGAAUCUCUGAGCCCCACUCAAGAUGCCACAUCUCCUGCCCUGGUGAGCAGGCCCCAGCUGAGCGUGGCUCGGGGGCGGGGGGGGGUGUGUGCUCCGUCCCUGGCACCAGCAGGUCAACAGUUGUCCUUCCUCGAGGUGGAAAUGCCAGGUGACGGGAAAGCCCGCAGGUGGCAGAGGAGGAGCAGAGUCAGGAAACCCACCCCAGGCAGUGGCGGCUGGCCCGGACCUCCACCUGAAAGAACUUUGGUGGACCUCCUACCAGCCACACCUGAGCUGUGUCCGCGGUCACAGAGCCAGGCUGGGAGGUCCCUGAACUGCCUUCCAGCUCUCCGUCUCCAGCCGGGCUCUGCCACCCGCAGGCUGGCCUCACUCUUGCUGUGCUCAGCCCCCUGGGGACCCUCCUUAGGCCACCCUCCCCUCACUUGCUCUGGCCACAUGCCCUGUGCCCACUGGCAUCUCCUGCAGCGUUCCCAGCCACCCAGCCACCAUCCCCAGUGAGACCCGGGCCGGGCUGUGCCCGGGCCUCCUCCCACCACCUCCCACCCACCCUAGUGGCCAACUUUCCUGGGAGAGGAAAGUCCUUCCUCCCAGGGCGGCCGGCCGGUGGCCUCCACAUGCAGGGCAGGUGUGUGCUGACUUGGGAACAGGGCUCAGCUCCCACAGCUCGUGUUGCUCCUGUCGAUACUGAGAGGGGUCCUGUUCCUGAUUUUGAAGGUCCUCCUUUGCACAGGGUGGGUACAUAUUUCUCCCAGAACAGUACUUGAUUGGUCGAAAUGUUUCUCUUUUCUUAUUUAAGUCCCUUCGGUAUGAGUGGAGAAUUGGGUUUGAUUCAGGCUUAAACAGAUGCCGUAGUAAAUUUUGAGCAGUUAUUAACAUGUGUGGGAACAUGAUUUGGCAAUAAGUUGGCGAUCCCAGUCUGUGCCGCUGUCAUUGAGCUGCGCACAGAAAUCUUGAUCUGCAGAGAAAAAGCAAAACAAAGUAUCCAAAGUUCUGUUCCCUUAAAAGAUACAUGGGUGACUCCUUUCCCUUCUACUCGUCCCCCUCCUCCCAGCCUUGGUCACCCUUCU